ACAAGUGUUUUAGGUUGCGACAUCUGUCACCCCAUUGAUCGCCAGGGUUGAUUCAGCUGAUCUGGCUGGCUAGGCGGGUGUCCCCUUCCUCCCUCACCACUCCAUGUGCGUCCCUCCUGAAGCUGCGCGCUCGGUCGAAGAGGACGACCAUCCCUGCUAGAGGAGGACCGGUCUUCGGUCAAGGGUAUACGAGUAGCUGCGCUCCCCUGCUAGAACCUCCAAACAAGCUCACUGUGCUUUUAUAUUUAAACACUUUUAAAAGUUGAAGGCCUACAAAGUUCUAUAGUUCAACAGAUAUUUAUUAAGUGCAAAAUAACACUCUAAU
ensembl:misc_RNA 7SK 7SK RNA